GCUUAACACAUGCAAGUCGAGGGGCAGCAUGGUCUUAGCUUGCUAAGGCCGAUGGCGACCGGCGCACGGGUGAGUAACACGUAUCCAACCUGCCGUCUACUCUUGGACAGCCUUCUGAAAGGAAGAUUAAUACAAGAUGGCAUCAUGAGUCCGCAUGUUCACAUGAUUAAAGGUAUUCCGGUAGACGAUGGGGAUGCGUUCCAUUAGAUAGUAGGCGGGGUAACGGCCCACCUAGUCUUCGAUGGAUAGGGGUUCUGAGAGGAAGGUCCCCCACAUUGGAACUGAGACACGGUCCAAACUCCUACGGGAGGCAGCAGUGAGGAAUAUUGGUCAAUGGGCGAGAGCUUGAACCAGCCAAGUAGCGUGAAGGAUGACUGCCCUAUGGGUUGUAAACUUCUUUUAUAAAGGAAUAAAGUCGGGUAUGGAUACCCGUUUGCAUGUACUUUAUGAAUAAGGAUCGGCUAACUCCGUGCCAGCAGCCGCGGUAAUACGGAGGAUCCGAGCGUUAUCCGGAUUUAUUGGGUUUAAAGGGAGCGUAGAUGGAUGUUUAAGUCAGUUGUGAAAGUUUGCGGCUCAACCGUAAAAUUGCAGUUGAUACUGGAUAUCUUGAGUGCAGUUGAGGCAGGCGGAAUUCGUGGUGUAGCGGUGAAAUGCUUAGAUAUCACGAAGAACUCCGAUUGCGAAGGCAGCCUGCUAAGCUGCAACUGACAUUGAGGCUCGAAAGUGUGGGUAUCAAACAGGAUUAGAUACCCUGGUAGUCCACACGGUAAACGAUGAAUACUCGCUGUUUGCGAUAUACUGCAAGCGGCCAAGCGAAAGCGUUAAGUAUUCCACCUGGGGAGUACGCCGGCAACGGUGAAACUCAAAGGAAUUGACGGGGGCCCGCACAAGCGGAGGAACAUGUGGUUUAAUUCGAUGAUACGCGAGGAACCUUACCCGGGCUUAAAUUGCAGAUGAAUUACGGUGAAAGCCGUAAGCCGCAAGGCAUCUGUGAAGGUGCUGCAUGGUUGUCGUCAGCUCGUGCCGUGAGGUGUCGGCUUAAGUGCCAUAACGAGCGCAACCCUUGUUGUCAGUUACUAACAGGUUCCGCUGAGGACUCUGACAAGACUGCCAUCGUAAGAUGUGAGGAAGGUGGGGAUGACGUCAAAUCAGCACGGCCCUUACGUCCGGGGCUACACACGUGUUACAAUGGGGGGUACAGAGGGCCGCUACCACGCGAGUGGAUGCCAAUCCCCAAAACCUCUCUCAGUUCGGACUGGAGUCUGCAACCCGACUCCACGAAGCUGGAUUCGCUAGUAAUCGCGCAUCAGCCACGGCGCGGUGAAUACGUUCCCGGGCCUUGUACACACCGCCCGUCAAGCCAUGGGAGCCGGGGGUACCUGAAGUGCGUAACCGCGAGGAGCGCCCUAGGGUAAAACUGGUGACUGGGGCUAA
rnacentral:rRNA from 1 species